rnacentral:rRNA from 1 species
AUUGAACGCUGGCGGCAGGCCUAACACAUGCAAGUCGAGCGGAUGAAGGGAGCUUGCUCCUGGAUUCAGCGGCGGACGGGUGAGUAAUGCCUAGGAAUCUGCCUGGUAGUGGGGGAUAACGUCCGGAAACGGGCGCUAAUACCGCAUACGUCCUGAGGGAGAAAGUGGGGGAUCUUCGGACCUCACGCUAUCAGAUGAGCCUAGGUCGGAUUAGCUAGUUGGUGGGGUAAAGGCCUACCAAGGCGACGAUCCGUAACUGGUCUGAGAGGAUGAUCAGUCACACUGGAACUGAGACACGGUCCAGACUCCUACGGGAGGCAGCAGUGGGGAAUAUUGGACAAUGGGCGAAAGCCUGAUCCAGCCAUGCCGCGUGUGUGAAGAAGGUCUUCGGAUUGUAAAGCACUUUAAGUUGGGAGGAAGGGCAGUAAGUUAAUACCUUGCUGUUUUGACGUUACCAACAGAAUAAGCACUGCUAACUUCGUG